GGGGGGGAGAGGAGGGAGAGGAGGGGAGGGGAGAGGAGAGGAGGGAGAGGAAUGGCAUCUAUCAGAAUAUAAGAUGUCGACAUAAUAAGUUAGUAGGUGCUGUUUCUUGGUACAGCUGCUGUGAACUGUAUAUCCUCACAGCAAGACAAUGGUGCUUUUUAUUUGAAAAUGGAUGUAUAGAGGAUUUUGGAGCAAAAAUGUCUAUUUUGUUUUGUUGUAGCAGAUUAUUGGAUGAUUAGAAACUAAGUGUGCUGAGGCAGAGUAGAGCUGAGGUGAAGUGGCUUUGAAUAUUAUAAUGUCCUCAUCAGAGAGGACUGUGUCUGUGUUGAAGGACUGUGGAUAUUAUAAUGUCCUCAUCAGAGAUGACUGUGUCUGUGUUGAAGGACUGAUCUAGGGUCAGGCUGGGUAGGUAGGUAGGUAGGUAGGUAGGUAGGUAGGUCAAUGAGGUGCUUACUACAUGGACAUGACUCCAUAUACUUGAAUAGAAGGUGUUCUUCAGAGCCUGGGUGGUCUCAGUAGUACUGAAUAGAAGGUGUUCUUCAGAGCCUGGGUUAUCUCAGUAAUACUGAAUAGAAGGUGUUCUUCAGAGCCUGGGUUAUCUCAGUAGUACUGAAUAGAAGGUGUUCUUCAGAGCCUGGGUGGUCUCAGUAAUACUGAAUAGAAGGUGUUCUUCAGAGCCUGGGUUGUCUCAGUAAUACUGAAUAGAAGGUGUUCUUCAGAGCCUGGGUUGUCUCAGUAGUACUGAAUAGAAGGUGUUCUUCAGAGCCUGGGUUGUCUCAGUAAUACUGAAUAGAAGGUGUUCUUCAGAGCCUGGGUUGUCUCAGUAAUACUGAAUAGAAGGUGUUCUUCAGAGCCUGGGUUGUCUCAGUAAUACUGAAUAGAAGGUGUUCUUCAGAGCCUGGGUUGUCUCAGUAGUACUCCAGGUUGUAGUGAAAGGCAGUGAGUGUAAUAACAUGUGGUUAUAAAGCACUCUGAUGAAUCAGGACUCAAGGUGGAUUCAUGUAGCUUUUUGAAUUGCUUAGCUUAUACCAUGUUGACUGUUGCUACUGUAGAGUAGGAGUUUCAUUUUCAUUUCAUCCUUUCUUCAAUAUUUUCAGUAGUGAACCAAUACGUGUCUCUGGCCAGAGUGUAAAUUCCUAAAACGCUUGUUCCCUUGCACAGCCAAAAUAGUGUUCACAUACCCCCCCUUACUUUAUGUGGAAUUCAACCUUUAAAACAGAUUCCUAAACCUAGUAAUAAACAUUUCCCCAAAUGUGUUGAACCUUCACAUUUUCUAAAGUAUUUGACAAAGGUUUUAUUAGUUCACCAUAAUCAGACUGGGAAUUCAUUAAAGCUUUGUCAAAGUAACAUAGCUGUGGCAGAAUCAAGCAUUUGGCUAUAUCGUAAAUGUUUUCAAAAUGAAUUUUUAAAAAAUAAUACUUUUUUGCUACUUUCUUGUAAGAAUUUUAACUCUUGACUGUCUCGGGAGCUCUACUACACAACUUUUAGAAGGAAAAAAACCUGAAUCUUGAACUGAGCAACAAAGUUGAUAGAUGUUAGUACUCUUUACCACAGCCACGUACGCUGUACAUAUGUGAAAUUUGCGAUGGAUUCAAUGUGGAUUUGUACAUAUGUAUAAUGUUUUUGUCUUUGGUGAAAUGCUGCUGGAAGCACUACAUGAAUGUUGUAGUGGGGGUUUAAGCUUGGCCAGUUUUACUAUAGUGUAUGUAAUGUACAGCUAAUGGAAGGUCACUUUUUUUAGUGAUUAUUUGUUAAAUUUUAUUGUUGUGGCCGGAAAACGUUAUUAAAUAAAAAGUUUUAAUGUCCAUCUUUAUAAA
rnacentral:lncRNA from 1 species